rnacentral:rRNA from 1 species
AAUAGAUAAAGUCUUUAAAAUUAAAAAAUUUGGCGGUAUUUUAGUCCUUUCAGAGGAACCUGUCCUAUAAUUGAUAAUCCACGAUUAGAAUUACUUUUGUUAAAAAUUUGUAUAUCGUUGUAGUUGAAUAUUUUUUAAGAAAAUUGAAUAUUCAUAAUUUUAAAUAUAAAAAUAAAUCAAAUCAAGGUGCAGUUUAUAUAAAAGAAGAGAUGGGUUACUAUAAAUUUAUAUUUGGCUCUUAAAUUUAAAAUUUAAUUAAAAAUGGAUUUGAAAGUAAUUUUGUUAAUUUAAAUAAAAUGAUU